AUGGGAUUCCGGGACCUCCGCUUAUUUAAUCAAGCCCUCCUGGCGAAGCAGGCUUGGCGGCUUAUCCAAUUUCCGGACAGCUUAUGUGCGAGACUGCUAAAGGCAAAAUAUUACCCACAUGGCAAUCCUGCUGAUACUGCUUUUAUCCAGAACGCGUCACCGUGCUGGCAAGGAAUCUGUCAUGGUUUGGAUCUCCUUAAGAAAGGCAUCGUUUGGAGGAUUGGUGUAGGUGAUAAAGUCAGAGUGUGGAGAGAUAAUUGGAUCCCAAGGGGAAAUUUAAAAAUCACUAGGAAACAAUCUCAUACUAGGAUAAAGUGGGUCUUCGAGCUGAUCGAUCCAGUGACAAGGACAUGGAAUGAGGAACUGAUUAGGAAAAUAUUACUACCUCAUGAUGUUGACGAAGUGCUAAAAAUUCGCCUCCCACAGUCUACCUCUGAGGAUUUUAUAGCAUGGCACUUUGAACGCUCAAGUGUCUUUUCGGUUCGCAGUGCGUACAGGCUAGCCGUUAAUGACAAGGAGGCGAAUCGAGAUUUGGGACAAAGCAGUACGACGCCAACUAGAGAAAGAAAGAUUUGGAGCGUGCUUUGGAAAGCAAAUGUUCCUCCCAAGAUUAGAAAUUUUGGGUGGCGACUGGCGACGGAAUCACUCGGAGUCCAGACAAGUAGACAUAAGAGAGGGAUGGAGCUAUUCCCUACAUGCUCUAUCUGUGGGAUGGAACCAGAAGAUGGAUAUCACGCAGUCAUGAGAUGCACAAAAGCUAAAGCCCUGCGUGACACCAUGCGUGAGGUCUGGAACCUUCUCCGGGACACUGAUCUCACAUGUACGGGGCGUGAGUGGGUCCUUCUAACUCUUGAUAAGGCGAAUGAGGAGGAGCGUACACACCUCCUUUUCAUCUGGUGGCGAGCAUGGCACCUUAGAAAUAACAUUAUAUUUGGUGACGGGAAAGAUACAAUAAAGGCAUCAGCAGAAUUCCUAGAAAGUUAUGCUAGCUCCUAUGCGGCGAUCAGAGCGGGACAGUCGCUACCUGACUUUAAAGGAAAAGAAAAAGUGAUGCCAGACAUUUCAUUCCGUGAGACUAAACAGAGAGUUGCAGAUUAUCAAUGGGCCAGACCUAACUCAGGUUGGCUCAAACUAAAUGUUGAUGCAAGCUUUAUUCAGGAGACAAACCAUGGAGCUUGGGGGGCUGUUCUACGAGAUACAAAUGGGGCGGUGAUUGGAUCUGCUUGGAACACAAUCACUAACUGCGCUAGUGCUGAGGCGGCCGAAGCUGAAGCCUGUCUUGAAGGAAUUCGAGAUACCAUGCAGUUCAUAGACCGGCCAGUAGUUAUUGAGAGCGACCGUGUGAAUGUCAUCCAACAAAUUUCUUCAAAGGACUUUAAUAGAUCUCCCAUUGGUAGCUUGUGUAGGGAAAUUCAGAGUUUGCUGGGCCAACUCCCUGAUUUUACUAUUGCUAAGAUCUCUAGAAAUGGCAAUAGGGUUGCCCACGCUCUCGCUAGUUUUGGUAGGAGUGGUGUGAGUAAGGGUGUGUUGAUCGGUUCAGUUCCAGCCUGCGUGUUGCGACUGGUCGAUGAUGAUUGUAAUGAACCUAUGUUGAUUAUUUAA
rnacentral:rRNA from 1 species